UAGGGAAUAUUGGGCAAUGGACGCAAGUCUGACCCAGCCAUCCCGCGUGUAGGAUUGACAGCCCUACGGGUUGUAAACUACUUUUAUGCAGGAAGAAACUUUCGUACGUGUACGAAAUUGACGGUACUGUAAGAAUAAGCAUCGGCUAACUCCGUGCCAGCAGCCGCGGUAAUACGGAGGAUGCAAGCGUUAUCCGGAUUUAUUGGGUUUAAAGGGUGCGCAGGCGGAUUUGUAAGUCAGUGGUGAAAGCCUACAGCUCAACUGUAGAAUUGCCAUUGAUACUGCUAAUCUUGAGUAUAGUUGUGGUAGGCGGAAUGUAGCAUGUAGCGGUGAAAUGCUUAGAGAUGCUACAGAACUCCGAUUGCGAAGGCAGCUUACCAAGCUAUGACUGACGCUCAGGCACGAAAGCGUGGGUAGCAAACA
rnacentral:rRNA from 1 species